CGCCGAGGUCGCCUGGCGAUGGACGACCAGGUCUCCGCCGCUUGCGGUUUCACGACCACGUUUCUCGCCGCCGGGCGGGUUUUGUGCCCGAGGAGCACGCAGUGUUGCAGCCUAGACUCCGGAUUACCAGUGGGAGGAAGACAACUUCGGAGGUUCGGCUGUGCAGCAAGUAACGGCGGGGCGAGGGAUCCAGAAGCUCCGGCGGACCUUGGGCAGACCCUCUCCACGCAUCGAAAGGACGGAAGAGUCCUAGUGUUCUACCUAGUGGGGUCAAAUUUCAGGACGGUGGAUAUACGGCAGGUUUGGGUGGAAAAUGCGGUAACAUACGUUGUGGUAUUUGUCGAAUUCUGCUUUUCUGGGAACAAUGGUUUGUGUGCCGUUUUGUUCACGUGUUGUUUUGCAUAUCUUUGGUGUCGAGCUUUCGCCUGGUUUGCACGUGCUUGAUUUGCAUUUGUUUGCUUUUAGUUGACUGGGUAUUUUGUCGAUAAGCACACAGGGAGGCAGCAUAGACUCCAGUUUGACGGAGGAAGACAAUUUCUGAGGUUCAGCUGUGCAGCAAGUAACGGCGGGGCGAUGGAACCAGAAGCUCCGGCAGACCUUGGGCAGACCAUCUCCACGUAGCGAAAGGACGGACGAGUCCGACAUAGUGGGGGGAAAACUUCAGGAUGGCUGAGAUAUGGCAGGUUUGGGUGGAAAAUGCGGUAACCUCAGCCCGGAUUCCAGCUCUCCCAGGCCGAGGAAGGCGACUACCACAGCGCGACUGAGAUGCAGCAAGCUCUGACAGACUUUUGGCGGCCUCUUCACAUAUUGAAAGGGCGGAAGAGUCCUACCUGGCGGGUCGAAACGUCGGAUGUUAAAGAUACGGCAGGUUUGGGGCGAAAAUGCGGUAACAAACGUUUGUGUUUUUUGUCCAAUUAUGUUUUCCUGGGAACAAUGGUUUGGGGUGGUUAAUGUGUACACGUGUUGUUUUGCAUAUCUUUGGUGUCGGGCUUUCGCUCGGUUCGCUCGUGCUUGAUUUGCAUUUGCUUUG